AACGAACGCUGGCGGCGCGCCUAAUACAUGCAAGUCGAGCGAGAAGACGUAGCAAUACGUUUGUAAAGCGGCGAACGGGUGAGGAAUACAUGGGUAACCUACCCUCGAGUGGGGAAUAACUAGCCGAAAGGUUAGCUAAUACCGCGUACGCUCCUUGGACUUCGGUUCAGGGAGGAAAGCGAUACCGUGGGUAUCGCGCUCUUGGAUGGGCUCAUGUCCUAUCAGCUUGUUGGUGAGGUAACGGCUCACCAAGGCUUCGACGGGUAGCUGGUCUGAGAGGACGAUCAGCCACACUGGCACUGCGACACGGGCCAGACUCCUACGGGAGGCAGCAGUAAGGAAUAUUGCGCAAUGGGCGAAAGCCUGACGCAGCGACGCCGCGUGGGGGAUGAAGGUCUUCGGAUUGUAAACCCCUUUCGGAGGGAAGAUGGAACGAGCAAUCGUUCGGACGGUACCUCCAGAAGCAGCCACGGCUAACUUCGUGCCAGCCGCCGCGGUAA
rnacentral:rRNA from 1 species